AAAAAUAAGUCAAAACUUUGAUCGCCGAUUGGAGUCCAACCACCGGGUGGUAGGUGUCACCGCCAACACCAGGUGAAGCAUCUCAGCAAGCCGGUGGUCCAGCCACCUUCCAAUGAUAAAUGAAUCUGCACGCUCCAAUCUUCUCUCUCCUUCAAUUUUCUUUUUUUUUUUUUUUUUAAUUUUUGCUGAUUUGAGUUGACUAGUAGCAAUUGCUCAAACUGAUUUGCCAGUUUUCAUCUAGUUUGCAUCGGUUAUCAGUGGUUUUUCAAUUUGGGGGGUUAAUUAUCCAAAUUAGACUGGAC
rnacentral:lncRNA from 1 species